rnacentral:rRNA from 1 species
UUAAGGACGAAGAAAGUGACGGUACUUAAUGAAUAAGCUCCGGCUAACUACGUGCCAGCAGCCGCGGUAAUACGUAGGGAGCAAGCGUUGUCCGGAUUUACUGGGUGUAAAGGGUGCGUAGGCGGCUUUGCAAGUCAGAUGUGAAAUCUAUGGGCUCAACCCAUAGCCUGCAUUUGAAACUGCAGAGCUUGAGUGAAGUAGAGGCAGGCGGAAUUCCCCGUGUAGCGGUGAAAUGCGUAGAGAUGGGGAGGAACACCAGUGGCGAAGGCGGCCUGCUGGGCUUUAACUGACGCUGAGGCACGAAAGCGUGGGUAGCAAACAGGAUUAGAUACCCUGGUAGUCCACGCUGUAAACGAUGAUUACUAGGUGUGGGGGGUCUGACCCCUUCCGUGCCGGAGUUAACACAAUAAGUAAUCCACCUGGGGAGUACGGCCGCAAGGUUGAAACUCAAAGGAAUUGACGGGGGCCCGCACAAGCAGUGGAGUAUGUGGUUUAAUUCGAAGCAACGCGAAGAACCUUACCAGGUCUUGACAUCCUACUAACGAGAUAGAGAUAUGUUAGGU